CAGUAGCCACGGUAAUACGUAGGGUGCAAGCGUUAAUCGGAAUUACUGGGCGUAAAGCGUGCGCAGGCGGUUCUAUAAGACAGAUGUGAAAUCCCCGGGCUCAACCUGGGAACUGCAUUUGUGACUGUAGAGCUGGAGUGCGGCAGAGGGGGAUGGAAUUCCGCGUGUAGCAGUGAAAUGCGUAGAUAUGCGGAGGAACACCGAUGGCGAAGGCAAUCCCCUGGGCCUGCACUGACGCUCAUGCACGAAAGCGUGGGGAGCAAACAGGAUUAGAUACCCGGGUAGUCCCUGUCUCUUAUAC
rnacentral:rRNA from 1 species